rnacentral:tRNA from 1 species
AAAGGGAGACCUAAUUCAGGUAUGGGACGAAAAAAAAGUAGUCGCUACCAAGAAUCAAUCCCAAAAGGUCGGAGCGAGGUAUGAGGCUUUCAAACUAGGUUCUGGGUUCAAACAAGACCUGAAUCAGGAACAAGGGCUAUUAGCUCAGGUGGUUAGAGCGCACCCCUGAUAAGGGUGAGGUCCCUGGUUCGAGUCCAGGAUGGCCCACCUGUACAGGUGGCAAAAAGAAAGAAAAGAAGCGAGGAAUCAGCACCUUAUCUUACUUAUAUAGUAAGAGAGAAUGCUGGCUCUGAGUUCAGAGUCCAGAGGAACCUUGAAAACUGCAUAGAGCUAGGUGAAAAAGCCAAAAAAGAAGACCGCAAG